rnacentral:rRNA from 1 species
UACGUAGGUGGCAAGCGUUGUCCGGAAUUAUUGGGCGUAAAGCGCGCGCAGGCGGUCCUUUAAGUCUGAUGUGAAAGCCCACGGCUCAACCGUGGAGGGUCAUUGGAAACUGAGGGACUUGAGUACAGAAGAGAAGAGUGGAAUUCCACGUGUAGCGGUGAAAUGCGUAGAGAUGUGGAGGAACACCAGUGGCGAAGGCGACUCUUUGGUCUGUAACUGACGCUGAGGCGCGAAAGCGUGGGGAGCAAACAGG